UACAGAGGUCUCAAGCGUUGUUCGGAUUCAUUGGGCGUAAAGGGUGUGUAGGUGGCGCGCUAAGUCGGGUGUGAAAUUUCGGAGCUUAACUCCGAAACUGCAUUCGAUACUGGCGUGCUUGAGGACUGGAGAGGAGACUGGAAUUCAUGGUGUAGCAGUGAAAUGCGUAGAGAUCAUGAGGAAGACCAGUGGUGAAGGCGGGUCUCUGGACAGUUCCUGACGCUGAGGCACGAAGGUCAGGGGAGCAAACGGG
rnacentral:rRNA from 1 species